rnacentral:sRNA from 1 species
UUAAGCAUAUCAAUAAGCGGAGGAAAAGAAACUAACAAGGAUUCCCCUAGUAACUGCGAGUGAAGCGGGAAAAGCUCAAAUUUAAAAUCUGGCGGUCUUUGGCCGUCCGAGUUGUAGUCUGGAGAAGUGCUUUCCGCGCUGGACCGUGUACAAGUCUCUUGGAACAGAGCGUCAUAGAGGGUGAGAAUCCCGUCUUUGACACGGACUACCAGUGCUUUGUGAUGCGCUCUCAACGAGUCGAGUUGUUUGGGAAUGCAGCUCAAAAUGGGUGGUAAAUUCCAUCUAAAGCUAAAUAUUGGCGAGAGACCGAUAGCGAACAAGUACCGUGAGGGAAAGAUGAAAAGCACUUUGGAAAGAGAGUUAAACAGUACGUGAAAUUGCUGAAAGGGAAACGAUUGAAGUCAGUCGCGUUGGCCGGAACUCAGCCUUGCUUCCGCUUGGUGUAUUUUCUGGUUGACGGGCCAGCAUCAGUUUUGAUCGUUGGAUAAAGGCUGGGGGAAUGUGGCACCUUCGGGUGUGUUAUAGCC